AAAACUUUCAACAACGGAUCUCUUGGUUCUGGCAUCGAUGAAGAACGCAGCGAAAUGCGAUAAGUAAUGUGAAUUGCAGAAUUCAGUGAAUCAUCGAAUCUUUGAACGCACAUUGCGCCCGCCAGUAUUCUGGCGGGCAUGCCUGUUCGAGCGUCAUUUCAACCCUCGGGCCCCCCCUUCGGGGACGGGCGCGGUGUUGGGGGUCCGGCCUUGGCCGCCCCCGAAAUGCAGUGGCGACCCCGCCGCGGCCUCUCCUGCGCAGUAAGCAAACGCUCGCAACGAGGGACCCGGAGGACGAGUCCGCCGUAAAACGCCCACUUCCUAGAAGUUGACCUCGGAUCAGGUAGGGAUACCCGCUGAACUUAAGCAUAUCAAUAAGCGGAGGAAAAGAAACCAACAGGGAUUGCCCCAGUAACGGCGAGUGAAGCGGCAACAGCUCAAAUUUGAAAUCUGGUCCCCCCGCGGGGCCCGAGUUGUAAUUUGCAGAGGAUGCUUUUGGCGAGGCGCCUUCCGAGUUCCCUGGAACGGGACGCCAUAGAGGGUGAGAGCCCCGUCUGGUCGGACGCCUAGCCUCUGUAAAGCUCCUUCGACGAGUCGAGUAGUUUGGGAAUGCUGCUCAAAAUGGGAGGUAUAUGUCUUCUAAAGCUAAAUACCGGCCAGAGACCGAUAGCGCACAAGUAGAGUGAUCGAAAGAUGAAAAGCACUUUGAAAAGAGGGUUAAACAGUACGUGAAAUUGUUGAAAGGGAAGCGCUUGUGACCAGACUUGAGCGCGGCGGAUCAUCCGGCGUUCUCGCCGGUGCACUCCGCCGUGCCCAGGCCAGCAUCGGUUCGCGGCGGGGGAUAAAGGCGUCGGGAACGUGGCUCCUCUCGGGGAGUGUUAUAGCCCGUCGCGCAAUGCCCCGCCUGCGGACCGAGGUACGCGCUCCGCAAGGAUGCUGGCGUAAUGGUCACCAGCGACCCGUCUUGAAACACGGACCAAGGAGUCGUCUUCGUAUGCGAGUGUUCGGGUGUCAAACCCCUACGCGUAAUGAAAGUGAACGCAGGUGAGAGCUUCGGCGCAUCAUCGACCGAUCCUGAUGUUCUCGGAUGGAUUUGAGUAAGAGCAUACGGGGCCGGACCCGAAAGAAGGUGAACUAUGCCUGUAUAGGGUGAAGCCAGAGGAAACUCUGGUGGAGGCUCGCAGCGGUUCUGACGUGCAAAUCGAUCGUCAAAUAUGGGCAUGGGGGCGAAAGACUAAUCGAACCUUCUAGUAGCUGGUUUCCGCCGAAGUUUCCCUCAGGAUAGCAGUGUUGAACUCAGUUUUAUGAGGUAAAGCGAAUGAUUAGGGACCCGGGGGCGCUCUUUAGCCUUCAUCCAUUCUCAAACUUUAAAUAUGUAAGAAGCCCUUGUUACUUAAUUGAACGUGGGCAUUCGAAUGUAUCAACACUAGUGGGCCAUUUUUGGUAAGCAGAACUGGCGAUGCGGGAUGAACCGAACGCGAGGUUAAGGUGCCGGAGUGGACGCUCAUCAGACACCACAAAAGGCGUUAGUACAUCUUGACAGCAGGACGGUGGCCAUGGAAGUCGGAAUCCGCUAAGGACUGUGUAACAACUCACCUGCCGAAUGUACUAGCCCUGAAAAUGGAUGGCGCUCAAGCGUCCCACCCAUACCUCGCCCUCGGGGUAGAAACGAAGCCCCGAGGAGUAGGCGGACGUGGAGGUCAGUGACGAAGCCUAGGGCGUGAGCCCGGGUCGAACGGCCUCUAGUGCAGAUCUUGGUGGUAGUAGCAAAUACUUCAAUGAGAACUUGAAGGACCGAAGUGGGGAAAGGUUCCAUGUGAACAGCGGUUGGACAUGGGUUAGUCGAUCCUAAGCCAUAGGGAAGUUCCGUUUCAAAGGCGCACUUUUGCGCCGUCUGGCGAAAGGGGAGCCGGUCAAUAUUCCGGCACCUGGAUGUGGGUUUUGCGCGGCAACGCAACCGAACGCGGAGACGACGGCGGGGGCCCCGAGCAGAGUUCUCUUUUCUUCUUAACGGUCUCUCACCCUGAAAUCGGUUUGUCCGGAGCUAGGGUUUAAUGGCCGGAAGAGCCCAGCACCUCUGCUGGGUUCGGUGCGCUCCCGACGUCCCUUGAAAAUCCGCGGGAGGGAAUAAUUCUCACGCCAGGUCGUACUCAUAACCGCAGCAGGUCUCCAAGGUGAACAGCCUCUGGUUGAUAGAACAAUGUAGAUAAGGGAAGUCGGCAAAAUAGAUCCGUAACUUCGGGAUAAGGAUUGGCUCUAAGGGUUGGGCACGUUGGGCCUUGGGCGGACGCCUUGGGAGCAGGCAGCCACUAGCCGGGCAACCGGCCGGCGGCGGCCAGCAUCCGAGCGCCGAUGCCCUUGGCAGGCUUCGGCCGUCCGGCGUGCGGUUAACAACCAACUUAGAACUGGUACGGACAGGGGGAAUCUGACUGUCUAAUUAAAACAUAGCAUUGCGAUGGCCAGAAAGUGGUGUUGACGCAAUGUGAUUUCUGCCCAGUGCUCUGAAUGUCAAAGUGAAGUAAUUCAACCAAGCGCGGGUAAACGGCGGGAGUAACUAUGACUCAAAAGGAAUCGUUGGCAUAUUAUACAGUACCCAGCGUACACUUGCAACAUCCUCACAGAAGACCCUCUGCCACCGCCUCCUCCAGCUCCCUGGCGCCAUCAAAAGACUCCGAAGCGCGGCUCAUCCACUCCAGGAGGGACUGCGACUGUCUGGCGCCACGCUGUGUGGUGACGGUAUCCCUGGACGCUGCCGACCGAUCUGUGGCGGCGCUGUUGGUCCUCGAACCCCACUGGCUAUCGCUCUCCCUGAUGGCGAGACAGCAGAAGACGUCGGCUCUUGCCGCUCGUAUGCAGCGCGGCUGGUGGGUGCAGAGGUCGACGACAAGGUGUCCAUGGAUAGAGCAGAAUAUGGGACCUGCGCAGCCCUUGCGACUGUUGUUGACUUGGGGACUCUCCGCACGGAGGUGAUCCGGGUUGAAGCAGUUUCGUCGGUCACAGAGGUGACUGACUUGGCAGUCCUGCGGCGGGUUUUGGCCUCGAGACCCCACGUAGGCGACAAUAUGUAUAAGGAAGGCCGAGAGCACCCCGCGCCCUGCUUGACCCAGGGCCGAGUUGCGCUUAGCCCAGAGCUAUACAGACGUUAGCGGCGUGGACGAAGAGGUCAUCCGGGGGAGGGG
rnacentral:rRNA from 1 species